UUGUAUAUACCCGUAUACAAACUUUGUAUAGACGUAUACAAAGUUUGUAUAGGCGUAUACAAA
rnacentral:pre_miRNA from 13 species